GGAAAUAAAAGUCGUAACAAGGUUUCCGUAGGUGAACCUGCGGAAGGAUCAUUAUUGUAUAACCGAGGUGCGAGGCCUGUCGCUGACCCGAAAGGUCGUGCACGCCCGAGUGCCCUCACACACAUCCAUCCCACCCCUAUGUGCACCACCGCGUGGGUCCCCCUUUGGCUUGUUCGGAGGGGGGCUUACGUUUUCACACAAACUUUGUAUGCAGUGUAGAAUGUAUUUUUUGUUUUUGCGAUCACGCAAUCAAUACAACUUUCAACAACGGAUCUCUUGGCUCUC
rnacentral:misc_RNA from 1 species